rnacentral:rRNA from 1 species
ACGCUCGACACCUACGGGAGGCGGCAGUAGGGAAUCUUCCACAAUGGGCGCAAGCCUGAUGGAGCAACACCGCGUGAGUGAAGAAGGGUUUCGGCUCGUAAAGCUCUGUUGUUGGAGAAGAACGUGCGUGAGAGUAACUGUUCACGCAGUGACGGUAUCCAACCAGAAAGUCACGGCUAACUACGUGUCAGCUGCCGCGGUAAUCUGAGCGGGCUGGCAAGGC